rnacentral:rRNA from 1 species
AUGAGGUUGGGACUCACUGGAAGAUCACCAACCGUUAGGUGGCAGGCUAGCCAACUUCCACUCGGUGAUGCCGGCCUUGGCCAACCUUCCGUUCAUGUCGAUAAUGGCAUUGACUUGAACAUGGAAUCCGGCGGCGGCGGCGGCGACGACAGACAUGGCAUGCUUGGCAUUGACUUGAAUGUUGAUCUUGAUGGAGUCGACGCCGGAGUUGAUGCUGAAAAUGUUGAAGGAAACGACACGGAACAUCCAGCUCCAGCUGGUAUGCAUGCUUGUACUGGUUCAUGCAUACAUGUGUGCUAUGCACUGUGGAUCAUGCAUGCUUGCACUGAUCGCAUACAUGCGUACUGCUUCAUGGAUUCUAGAUCAUGCAUGCUUGUAUUGGUUCAUGCAUACAUGUGUGCUGGUUCAUGGAUACUGGUUCAUGAAUGCUUAUAG